rnacentral:tRNA from 1 species
GGGGGUGUAGCUCAGAUGGUAGGGAGCCUGCCUGGCAUGCACGAAGCCCUGGGUUUGAUACCCAGUGUACCUG